AGACCAGUCUUUGUGACUGAACUCAGACCAGUCUUUGUGACUGAACUCAGACCAGUCUUUGUGACUGAACUCAGACCAGUCUUUGUGACUGAACUCAGACCAGUCUUUGUGACUGAACUCAGACCAGUCUUUGUGACUGAACUCAGACCAGUCUUUGUGAUUGAACUUACUUUAACGACAUUACUUUAGUUGGCUGCUUGCAUGUAAUAUAACUUAUUAUGGGAGUCUAGUGUGUGUAAUAUAAAUUAUUCUGGGAGUCUAGUGUGUGUAAUAUGACUUAUUCUGGGAGUCUAGUGUGUGUGUAAUAUGACUUAUUCUGGGAGUCUAGUGUGUGUGUAAUAUGACUUAUUCUGGGAGUCUAGUGUGUGUAAUAUGACUUAUUCUGGGAGUCUAGUGUGUGUGUAAUAUGACUUAUUCUGGGAGUCUAGUGUGUGUGUAAUAUAACUUAUUCUGGGAGUCUAGUGUGUGUAAUAUAACUUAUUCUGGGAGUCUAGUGUGUGUAAUAUAACUUAUUCUGGGAGUCUAGUGUGUGUAAUAUAACUUAUUCUGGGAGUCUAGUGUGUGUAAUAUAACUUAUUCUGGGAGUCUAGUGUGUGUAAUAUAACUUAUUCUGGGAGUCUAGUGUGUGUAAUAUAACUUAUUCUGGGAGUCUAGUGUAUGUGUAUGAACUAUGUGGAAUAUUUGUGGACCGUCGUCUUCCCUGAAAGCAGGUACUGACAGGAGGACGAGGCCCCUGACGAGAAUGAUGAUCCAGUGCCAGUGUUUAAAAUCUAUCUACAAGAUAUUUACAGAUGUUCAAUGUUGUAAAAACUAUUUACAAGAUAUUUACAGUUCACUGUUGCAGUGCCAACUUUGGGAGCAUGUGGUUCUUGAAACACUCCUCUAGUCCAGCAAUAGGAGUCUGCCAGAGGUCAUCACGCUGGAUGGUGAUGGAGGCUUUGGUGGUCCACGACAACAAAGCUGACCUUGGACCUGGUGCCAGUAAGGAUGGUCUUCACAGAAGCAGUAAGACCCUCCCUCCACUUGGAUAUAGAAAUCCUUCGACCUCACUCCCUCUUCAAUGGUCAGGUCCCUUUAGGGGAACACUUGACCUCCACCACCGCUGUGUUGCCCACCAGACCAUCCGGCGAGGCACCCAGGAUCCCAGACCAUCCGGCGAGGCACCCAGGAUCCCAGACCAUCCGGCGAGGCACCCAGGAUCCCAGACCAUCCGGUGACCCUGUGACCUCAAAGCCCUGACUCCUGCACAUCCAUCUCUGUAGCCAUUUUGAAUGCCUUGACAUCCUCUUCUUCAUUAUCUGAGCCCCACUUUACAGACAACACCCCCAUCCAACGACUGAUCUGAGGACCUUUUAUUUAGCAGCGACGGAGUAACGCGCUUGGCCCUAACCACUGCUCCAUAAUGUCUGUCAUCCUCCCUAUCCUCAUGGUGUGCCAGUUGUGGGUGGUCUGUUUUCCAACUGUUGCCUGUCGUAUAGCCUCCUGCUGCUCCACCGACAGCGCCAUGCCAGCGUGCCCUUGUUUCUUUAAACAAUGUCCAGUACAGACAGGGCUGAAAGGGAGGGUAGCAGGUGUUCUGGCUCAGGUUCAUGGAGUCAUGCCGUUCUACUGAACCUGCCCCAGGGACAGGUUCCUUACCCACUGAAGAUCCUCCUCUGUGGGCUCUCGGGGACAGAGGGUGGAGGAAGCCAACCAAGUCGUCAGCCAGGUACAGGUCCUCCACUGUGGGCUCUCGGGGACAGAGGGGGGAGGAAGCCAACCAAGCCAGGUACCGGUCCUCCACUGACUGCACCUGGUUGGUUGGCUUCCUCCCCUCUCAUUCCACAUCGGUACAGACGAUAUUGUGAACCGCCAACAUGGUUCCACUGAUGAUCUCCAUGGAGGCAUUCUGAUGUUGUAGAGAAUCCCCCGGUCACCUAUAGAGACCUGCCAACAGGAAGUGGUCACCUAUAGAGACCUGCCAACAGGAAGUGGUCACCUAUAGAGACCUGCCAACAGGAAGUGGUCACCUAUAGAGACCUGUCAACAGGAAGGAUGUUAAUUAAGAGCCACAUCCCUUUCAGUGCCUGACUCUGAACCUUGGAAUGGAUUUGUUGUAAGAAAAGUGCUACGUAAGUCAGGAUUGAUUUGAUUGGGGGAAAGGGGGGAUAUGACAUUUGCCUUGAUUUGAUUGGGGAAAGGGGGGGAUAAGACAGAUUUUUACCUUGAUUUGAUUGGGGAAAGGGGGGAUGUGACAUUUACCUUAAUUUGAUAGGGGAAAGGGGGGAUAUGACAGAUUUUUACCAUGUCAGCUCGGGGAUUCAAUCCAGCAACCGUCCGGUGACUUGCAACGCUCUAACCACUAGAAUACCUGCCGAUUGAUGACAUCCCAGCUGUAGAAUAUAUAAUAAACUGUCAUUUUCACAUGAGGACAAGUGUAGUUUUUCCCAAAAACGUUUAAUUAAUAAUUUGGGAUUUUACCACUUGACAUAUUAACCAUAUAGUGGGAAGGAGCCUAUAGAUCCAGACUGUGUGAGGGCAUGUACCACUCAGAAUGAAUAAAUACUGUACCUUUUUAAAGA